GAGCCCUGUGCUCACUCCUCUCACCCAGUGGCCAGCAGCUCUUCUGAGCUACCAGAGCCCAGGUCCACAGAGACGGCCAGAGGGUCUUUCUCCUUCACCCACAUCACUGAAUGCACGCGCCUGAGUGAGAAAUUCGCAGAAAAAUGAAACUCUGGAUCACGGGACUUGUCUGAGUGGGGCCAAACAGCCCAGGCAUCUUCUGCCGUAACAGGAUGCUAUCCUUAAACUCCUUCCCUCGGAGUUCAGUUUUUAUGUGUUACAAUGUCUCAAUCCUCAGAUCCUGCACAAGUGCUGUCUUGUCUCUAAACAGUGGAGGCCGGGCAGACUGCAUGUAGACAUUUUCGUGGAAGGGGAUUUCAUUCAGGACGUUUUGUCCUGGAAGAGGUUUAUCUGAGGGCUAUUCUGAGAAUGAAGUAGCUGGAGGAUGCAAAGCCUUGGAAAUCUUAUCAUUAACUGGACACAGAGGUGGACUUCUCCGGCACAUGGUCACGUGACCUGUCUGCCACGCCCUGAGGUGGAAGCACAGUUAACUUAAUUACGGCAUCCAGAGCCACAGUUGGGUAGCCGUGAAAUCUGAUGGGCAGAAGCUUCCGUUAGGCAGCCGUGGAGAACACUGGCCUGCUGAGAUGGAAUUCUGGGAAGGACCCAGCGCUUCAAGGGACACAUUAGGGUGGAUGGGAGGCAAUGUUUAACAUGGACUGCAAUGACGAACUGCCUCUCUAGGUGAGUGACUAUGCAAACUUGGCAAAUGGACUGGAUGACCAAGGUAGUUUUGUGGAGGCGUCAUCAAAUCUCUCUUGCAUUAUCUAGAGCAUCUAUAUCUCCUGGAGUGUGGAAAAGAUGAUUAAAAUUUGUCUAGUUGAGAAAGAAAUCAAUGACCAAUGCUGAAAAACUUUGCCUCUGAGGACAGAAGUAUCUGCCUGCAGCCAAGAUUUCCUUCCCACACCAAACUCGCUGUCUGUAGUUCAGUAGUCUGUCACUACCAGUGGAGCAUUGGUUGUUACAUCCUCAGGGUAACCAAGACAUUUGACGUAGCAAACUGGCCUUGCUCGCCUUUGAAGGUGUCUCUGCCCUGCUGUUUGACAACUGUUAGCGAUAAACCCAGUUAUAGCCAGCCUCUGCCAGAGGGUGUGACAUCAAGGAGAGUACAGCUUUUUGUGGGAAGCCACAUGUGCCGUUGCAGAGUGGCACUGACUACUGCUGGCCACCACGCAUAAGUUUGGACAAACAACCAAUGUGUACAUAUGCAGUAAAGUUUUUUGCAAAGACACUGCCUGGCCCGGGCAUGAUAAUGAGGCUUUGAGAGUAUAACCAAUCAGAUGUGAGACAUGCAAAUGAGGUAUGAUAAUGAGGCUCUGUGAGGUACAGAGAGAGAGAGUAGCUAAUCAGAUGAGGAACAUGCAAAUGAGGCAUAGUGCAUAACCAAUCCGGGUGUGAGACAAGCCUCUCCUAGGCCUAUAUAAACAGCAUCAGUUCUGGGCUCGGGGUCUUUUCGCCUCUGCAAUCAAGCUCUCCCAAUAAACGUGUGCAGAAGGAUCCUGUUGCAGCGUCGUUCUUGCUGGUCAAGUCUGGCGCGCGCAAGAGCUUUUCUCGAAGGUGAUGGACCUUGGACAGGUGGUAACAUGGGUAAAAUGAUACGGGCUUGAUCACGUCAGCAGUGGUCGGCCACAGUAUUUGUUCGGUGAGAACAGCUGAUGCCAAGAUUGAACAGCACUGAAUUUGGUGCUAGGGCUGCGGGGUUCUGGUGUCACCCACGCGGAUGGCAAUUUACCACGUGAUUCAAAGUUCACAGCUAGGGUAUUAUUGCAGAGUGUACAAUCAUUUAUGUGUACUUCCCAGUGGCUGGGGCUGGAGCUAGGAGGGCUUGCUUUAUUGACUUACAAUGCAGAAUGCUAACCCCUGUGCACACCAAUGCGGGCACACCACUGACUCUGUCUGUAUUUGGUUACGCUGAUUAGUGUUAAGAGACUGUAUCUGGAGGUUCAUCUUUCUUGAGUGGAAUAUUGGUUUUAAUAAAGCUAUAUUAUUUUGUGAAA
rnacentral:lncRNA from 1 species